rnacentral:lncRNA from 1 species
UUGGAUUCCUCUCAGUUGCUCCAUGUACAGAGCCGUUGCGCCUUCUGCUACCUUGAACAUCCACUCGGUUGCAAAGAACUGUGCGUCCUCGUUGUUUGAAUCACCAUUGGUUGAGAUUCCUUCAGCUAGAGGCUCAAGCUGCUGAGGUAAAGUCAGGAGAUAUUAUCCAACGCUUGUAACGUAAGCCUGAGGGUAUGAGCUGAAGUUUGGUAGAGCAAACGCAGUUUGUUCCUCCACAGAAGACCAGAUUGGUAGGCGAGAUACUUCCCCGAGUCUUUGCCUGACUUUUGAUAUGAGGAUGUCAUAUACAAGUUUGUUCACUGUGUCCUCAAACGCAGCUACUCUCUGAGAUGCCAAAGGCAGUGCGUGGAACCUUGGAUCUUUUGACUGCAAAAAAAAAACAGCAAAAGGAAAUGAUACAUAUGAACAGUGUAUAUUAAUUUAUGAAUCUUUGUCAAUUAAGACUACCUGUUCCAACAGGUUUAGGAGUUUGCGAGCCUUCUCCGGAACAUCAACCAACCGAAUAGCUGCCACAUCCAGGGAAGCUCGUCCAGCCAUAGACAAAUCUCCAGCUGUUUGUUCACUUGUCAAAUGUGACAGGUUCUGAUCCAGAUUGUGCCAAAUAGUGAAAUAGACAAGCUGGAGUUUAGUCUAGCCAGAGUGGCUCUCAAAGAAGCUUCAAACACAGAAGACCUGCUCAAGUCAGCUUCUCACCGUCUUUAUAGGAGCUUUCGUCUAAUAUUUUAAGCCUUCUGGUGUUGUCAAUCGAGACAUGGUAACAUAAAACUGUCCAUGGGUAAAUACAGGCCGGGGAAGAUAUAAAGCUGACUUGCUUUAGGCUUUGGCCUUGACUUUUAUUUAUUGUCAUGGCAUAGCUAAGUCGGAUUGGGUAUUGCCGUCUACGAAGUUAAAAGGAUGUAUGCUGUCAGUUGGGCUUAGCUGUAUCCUAGGGAGUAAUAUUCGUUCACCAACUUCUGUCCGGUCAUUUUUAUCAAAAAAAACAAAAAAAAAACUUCUGGUCCGGUCAUAAUCUCCACUUCGACAAUCACCAAGCCAUGAUCCUGAUUAACGUUGCGCAGUGAAUUCAAAGGAGUAGCAUGAAUGUAGUUUACUCAAACCGUGCCCAAACUGAUCCGAUUCGAUUGUAUUUUAUAAAUUCCUUACUAACAUUUUCUUGUAUUCCUCCUGUGUAUUAAAAUAAUUUUAAAAUAAAAUCUAAAAAUUAAAACCCGGCUGGAAUUAUUCAUACGUUAGUCUCCCUAUUAAUCUUGAAAUUUGAAUAGUUACAAAACAACUAAAAUUUUAAUAAAUCAACAAUUCCAAUUUAGUUAUAUAAUUAUAACUUUAUUUUUCUUAAUCUUAGGAAGAUUGUGAAUGAAUUUACUUGUUCCGUAGUCAUUUGUAUCUAAACCGAAACAUAUAGUAAAAAACAAACUAAAUAUUAGGAAUUAGUAAAUCAGAGUAUUUCGGUUGGAAUGUCACGUAAGAUGAUAACUCGAAUAAUACUGAAAGUCUGUAUAGUAACUAAUUAUUUAAAUAUUCUAUUAUAUCAUUACUCAAAAGUUAGUUAUAGGAUGACAAAAAGUUUCCUUUUAGUAUUGUUAUGAUUUCAACGUCAAAAGCCAAAAACGCAAAGGAGUAGCAUGAAUGGAGUUUACUCAAACCCUGCCCAAUCUGAUCCGAUCACAAUUCUAAUGGAUUUUCCACUUUUAUUUCAGUUAAAAGAAUUGAAAAAACUAUAUAAGAGGGAAUAAAUUGAAAUAGUUUUUUUAUUAUUGACUGAAACAAAGAUAAUCAAAGUUGCGAAAGUACUGCAGAUAAAUAAGAAGUAUUUAAACUUGGAACAUGAAACCAUAACUGCUGGUAUCCAUUUCUUGGCCAUCUUGGUAGAUGAGUGGGUCCUCUUCUUCGCCGAAGCAUCGGCUGGUUUCGCAUCAGUAUUCUUAUCUGCAUCACUACUGCCUUCUCCAGUUUCAACACGAACAGGAACCGGACCACCAUCUGCCAUGUCAGCAUCAUCACCAUCGUUUCUCCCCUGAUACAUUCGGAAAGUGUUACAUACUAACAGACAUACAUAGAUAAUCAAAGGUUCGCAAAAUCACUCUUACCUUAACGACAAAGUCAGGAACUGGAACACGCUCAUGCUCCUUAAGGAUGCGGGUGAUGGUGAGGUCUAAUGGUGUGCAGUGAAGUUAAACGUGCUAACUCUGACCUGGAAGGUGAAUGUUUUUCCUUCCAUGUCUGUGAUAAACAGCGGCACCUAAGAGUCCUCAGGAUUUACUCCUUCCUCAGCCUGUUCGUCAGAUUGAAAGCACCAUGUAUGUUAGCAUUUAUAUUUAAUAAUCCUUUAAGAAGACUAAUGCACAUCUUACCAACACUGACCGGCUUCACUUGCUCGGAGGUUAUGCAGCUUAGUCAUCACACCAUCAAAACACACGAAUGCACCUUCAACUGUGCUAUCAGCGAUUGCCAACUCCACACGAUAACUGACGGAGUUUACGGAAAAAAUGAAGACGUCCAUGCCUCUCCAAGGAUAGAAAUUAACGCCCUACAAACUUUCAGUUUGAAUUAUUGCCUAUACACUAUCUAGCCCUUGAGUAAUUUGCCAAUAAUGAUUUCAAGAAUUUUAAUCAUAUUUUUCUUCCUCCCAACAAGCUAGGCAUUUCGAAUCGUGACUGUGACCAGUUUUACAAGUGCAUCACAUCCGUCUUCUCGAAGUGGACUUUUAUUUAAACGUCACCGUGCUAUCACAUACGAGUUCCUGGAGCUUUGUUUUCAAAAGUUUAACAUGUGUGUUAUAGGUUUCUACGCCGUUACUUUUCUGAUUUUAUGAUAAAGAGGUUUAAGACAGAAUUUUUACAUAAACUUUGGUUAUGAUCUGGUAUCUGUAUCUAUUUAUUUCAAGUGUUUAUGCACCUCCCUACAGGGAAUCACUUCCAAAACAAACAAACAAAAAUUAACUAUAUGAUUUCCCUACUUAUUUCUACCCAGAAACAAACUAAUAUCUUAAAACAUGAACGGUUGUUAUUGCAAAAAAAUCAAACAGAUUUAUUAGUUUGAUGGGAUUUAUUGUUUUCAAAGUCUAGCAUUUAUAAUAUAGAAUAAAUACUUUAAAAAUAUAGUAGAUCAAGAUGAGAUGGUCAACAUUUUAAGGAAAACAAGUGAAGAAAGAUGACUGAAAAGAAUAAGAGAAAUUCUUGGGUUCACCCCUAGGUGAAUCUAUAGGUUCACCAACCAAUGAAAAUUGGUUAUUUUAUAUACAAAUUUUUUCAAAAAAGGAAACAAAAUUUUUAGAAUUUAUUUUUUUAAAUAAAAGGAUAUAAAAUAAAAAAAAACGUAUAAUAACAAUAAAAGAUGAUUUUUUUAAUAUUGUUAAAGCUGUUCAUACUAAACACUAAAUCCUAAACCCUAAACAUGAAACCCUAAACCCUUGGAUAAAUCCUAAACCCUUGGGUAAAGAGAUAUUCCAACGGUUAUGAGUCUAUCCAUGGGUUUAGGAUUUACCCAAGGGUUUAGGGUUUAGGUUUAGGGUUUAGGGUUUAGUAUGAACGGCUUUAACAACAUUAAAAAAUUCUUUUCUUACAGCAGCUACUAUUUUUUUAUUUAUUUUUUAUAUUUUACCUAAGGGUUAGGAUUUAUCAAGGGUUUAGGGUUUAAGGUUUAGUGUUUAGGAUUUAGCGUAUAGGGUUUAAUAUGAACGACUUUAACAAUGUAAAAAAAUUCAUUUUUAUUGCUAUUAAAUAUGCAACGUAAACACACAUAAAAAUGAGACAUCAUAUUUGAUAUAUUUAAAUAAAUAAUUUUAAAUAUAUUAUAUUCUUGAUAAUUUUAAAAUUACUUAAAAAGAAACUAAAUUAUUAAAAAAUUAAUAUACAAAUAAAACAAAAACAAUAUUUUGUAACAUCAAAAUAAUAAAUGAAUAAAAAUAUAUUAUGUUAAUAAAAUAGAUUUUAGAUUUUAAAAACUUCUAAUUCAUGUAAUAUAAAAAAUUUCAAAAUUUGUUUAUUACAAUUAAUAUUUUACCAUUAGAUAUAUUAAAUAAUAUUCUAGAUCGAUAUUCAAUUUUCAGUUUUUAACUAUUACACGUAAAAAAUAUUAUUAAGUACGUUUUUUUGAAAAGGUGGUUUUAUAUUUUAAGUAGGUUAUUGGAGUACUUUUUUUUUUGAAUUUAUUCGAGAUGAGAUUUCGAUCUUUUAAACUACGAUAAUUUAUGUUCUAUACAUAAUUAUAUAUUUUUUACGUAACUCUAAAAUCUCGGACUUGAUUCUUCAUAUUUUAUUAGUUAAUUGUGUUACAUAUAAUAGAAAUACUUACUUCAAACUUAAAAUAUAAAAAAAUCAAAUUUAAAUUAUUAUAUAAUUUAAUAUACAAGAAUUCACAUACAAAAAAAAUGAUAAAUAUAAUAAUUUAAAUAUUAUCCGCGCGUAGCGCGGAGAAAGGAUCUAGUUAAAAUGAUGACUAAAUAACAAAAAAGUUAAUAACAAAUCUAUGUUUUUUAGUUUUAUUUUCCUUUAAGUCUUGUUUAUUGAAGUUUGAUUAGUUAUCGUUAUCUUUUAUUCAUUCCAUAUUAAAUAAUGAAAUAUUUAAGAUCUAGUUUUUUUUGUUUAAAAAUAAUUCUACAAGUUUUAUACACUUGGACAUCAAGGAACGACUAGCUUCAAUUUCAGUCUCAAGUUGCUCGUUUGGAAACAACAAGCUAUACUUAGAUAAAUCGUCAUAUUUAACUGGAUUAUCAUUGGCAUGCACGUCAAACUAUAGGUACAUUAAUUUUCAUAAAGUUGAUAUGGAGAAGUUUUUUUCAUCGUUUAUUUUAUGAUGCUUAAACUUUAAAUUCACACGUACAUUUAUUUAUUCUCAUUCUUGAUUUCCCUCGAACGCUGGAUCUUUUUUAGCUUGCUACGGAUUUUCUUGUCUCUGACUAAACGUGGGUGUUAUGAAAAUAGUAAACCUAUUCUAAAAUACGAUAAUAAAUAACCAUUAGACUUAAUAAUUAGAACAACAAAUAUAUUUAAUAUACUACCACAACAAAAUAUAUAGUCUAGUCAACCUUUUUAUUCCUAGACUACUAAUUUGAGAUAUAUUCAAAAUUAAUGGUAAUUGAACAAUUACCAAAAUAUUACAGUCAAAUUAUUUUUUACCAUACUACUAUAUGAAAUAUGUUGAAAAUUAAUGGUAAUUGAAUACAUUCCUAACGUUGUCCAUUUUGUGUUCUUGACUCUUCCUCUCAACUAUCUGUAUAUAUAAGAUUACAAGUGCAUGACUAUAUUUCAACAUCACAAAACAAAUAAAAGAUAAAACUAAAAGCGACAGCCAUGGGAACACCAAAACUGAAGUUGGCUGUCGAGGAGUUGGAGAUGGAUCAUCUCAUGCUCCAGAUCCAAAAUGGUAGAAUGCUUGAUGACCUUUCUCAAACCGAGACUGAGAAGUUAAAGUCAUAUGCAAGUAAGAAGUUCCAAACUCUUAUGGGUGAGAUCCCAAAGGCACCAUUCCCAAUGAUACAGGGGGAAGUGUCUAUUUGAUGGAUAAGUGGAUCAAGGAUCCAUCUGAUAAGGAGGAUGAGAUGAAGAAGACCUGUGAAGGAGAGAGCAGCAAGUCUGGUGGUGCGGACGAUGCCUAAUGAAGCAGCUAGCCGUCGAAUAAUAAAAUUAAUGUGUCUUGGAAUAAAGUUGUUAUUGUUGUGUCUUUGCAUUCUCGUUUCAUAUUUCUAGUUUUUGUUGCUUUGGUCAUGUUUCCUGUUUUUUGUUUCUUGUUGUGUCUUAAAGAUGUGUCUUUGUUUGCAUAUGUUAAUCUAAAUAAUGCAAUGUUUUCCCUUUGCAAUCAUUAAAGAGCUCAUCCCGUAUUUAACACUGUUUUUCUAGAGUUCAACAUAAAGCAAAUUGUUUCAGAACAAUAAGCUAUAUAUAUACACAUUAAUUUUCAUGAAUAGUUUGAUAUGGAAAAGUUUUUCUCAUCGUUUCUUGUAUGAUGCUUAAACCUUAAAUUCACACGUAAGAUUUAUUAUUGUCUUUCUUGAUUUUCCCUCGAACGCUGGAUCUUUGGCUGCUUACUACGUAGCAUUUUUUUUUCUUUUUAGCAUUUACAUUAAGACUACAAAUUACUCAGUAUCUACAAUUUCAAGAGAUUUGUUUUAGAGUGUGUGUGUGUGUGUCCUAUUUUUUGCAGACGCUGGUCUUCCUAGGGAUGGCAAUUGGUACCACCCGCCCCGCUGCGGUCUCUAUCUCAUGUGGAUCUUUGCGGGUCAGCCCGCCAUGACCCGCGGUACCCAAACCCGCGGGUAGUAAAAAGAUGAUGUUUCGUUGUGGUGAGAAGAUUAUGUUUCCACAUGUUUUCUUGAACGAGGACGGCUCUCAACUCAAUACUGUAACUUAAUAACAGCAUGUGCACUACUAGGACUUAACAGAAACGAAGCAAACAAACUUCUUCCAUAUAAAGUAGGACUUAACAGAAACGCAUCAUUGCUUACAGAGAAAGGAAGGUAAAUUCUAUCUCCUACAUUCAAGGACCCCUUGGCUGCCACCUUCAAACAGACAACAUCAGCUUCUUAAAAAACAGUUCUUGUCCUAACCAAGAAUUAACAAAAGAGCUAUUUACCCUUUUAAGUUGUCUUCUUUGUAGUUCAUCACCGUCACAAGUCACAUGCCCUUCUCUUUUUUAACCUGAAACACAUUUACAAAUCUCUUAAUCAUGUAACUUAAUGGUUCGAUCGAAUCAUCAAAAUAAAAUAUUUUAGCUGAAGAGAUCACGGACCUGUCUUAAACGAAAGAGUUCAUGUACGAGGUUUCUAGGUAAGUCCAGACGAACGAAGAAUCCACCUCAGCUCCGGUGGUGGGAUCUCCAAGAAGAGAAGCUAUGGGGUGGAAAGAAAACGGAGAGAAGCUUCACUGGUGGUUCGACGAAGAAGAGAAGCUCCGGUGGUGGCCUUAAUCAAAGAGAAGAAGAACCGGUUGGUGGUGAUGCUCCUCUGGUGCUCGACGGUGACUCGGUGGAGUCGUGGAGAACAUGAAUCGCCAUUUUCAUGAUCUCUCUCUUUUUUUCAGGUGGAAACAAAACAAAACAGGAAGUGGCGCGGGUUCUUUCUGCCCCACAAGACCCGCAAUAGUCCAAACCUUAAAGGCCCAAACCCACAUGAGACUUAACCCACGAGACCCGCUCACAAAUGGGCCUCAAUAUCUCUACCCAAACCCGCCCCGCAUGGGUCUUCUGCGGGCCCGGCCCGUGGGCAGCGGUUUACUUGCCAUUCCUAGUCUUCCCAUAAAUGUUCAAGUUAUUCACUCCCACCCAUUAGUCCAACGCUUUCAGUGUAAUGAUAAAAGAAAGCCAAAGUGGAGAGGGAUAGAGAGAGUAGAAUUACACCCCAAAGAUUCCAAUAGCAUUAAUCUUCUUAAUCGCUUCCCUCAUCGCUAAACCUUCUGCCAUUAGUGGUGACAUAACAAAGUUAGUGGAUCUUGAAAAUCUCUGAGUCUCUCUUGAAGUUUUGAUAGUCCAUCCCAGUCUAGCAGCCCCUGAUGUUUCAGUCUUGAAGCACGAUUUAACAUAUGUUUUUAAUAGGAAAGAAAUAAACCAAAUGUGGAACAUGUGCUAGGGGAAAACAAUGUACCUGUAAAAAUGGACUAGACACCACGUAGUGGCAGCUGAUGAAGCUCAGUUAUUAGCUCCGUCAACUUAACCUGAUUUUCAUUCCUGCAUUGAACCAACUGCCUCCUUAGAUCUUGGACCUGGUAAUUAAGCCUUUGAAUCUUAUUUUCUUGUGAGAAAAUUUUCUGCCAUAAAUAGAGAUAGUCAUAUCAUUAUUAGAUCAUACUAUGAAGGCAUAUGCGAAACUAAGAGUGGGUGGUUUUCAGAUAACUAUGGUUAAUGUAAGUUUCCUCAGAAUCAAAGCAGCUAAAGAGAAGUGAAACGGAUAAAGACAAACCUUUUCUUGCACAGACUCUUUGCCAUGUAGUAUAUGAUGUUGCUCUUAAUCUGAUUGAAUCAAGGAACGACUAAAGUUUUCUUAUAUGGAGAAGUUUUCUUCAUCGUUUAUUGCCAUUCUUGAUUUCCCUCGAACGCUGGAUCUUUCGUUGCUUGCUACGGAUUUUCUUGUCUCUGACUAAACGUGAGUGUUAUGAAAAUAGUAACCUACUAGGCAGUAACUAGCGAUGUGAGCGGAGUAAAAUAGUUUAUUAGAUUAUUUAUAGUAUGUUGUACUAAAAGAUUUGUCAUAUAGCUUUUUGGAAUAAAUAUUCAUAUAUCUGUUCGAAUUCAGUUGAUCUAUCGGGAUUUCACACUUUUAGAGUUAGAUAUUUAAAUCUUAUACAGAUAUUUACAAAUUUUGGUUUAGAUUUGGUUUCGAAUCUUUGCGGGUUUAGUUCGGAUUCGAGUUCGGAUACCCAUUUUAAUCAGGUAUUUUUUAACAAAAAUCUAAAUAUACUUAAAUGCUCAAAAUCCAAAAAUAAAAUAAUAUAAAACAUAAAAAUUAAUAAUGUAAGACUAACUAUUUAAAUUUACAUAAAAAUUCAUUCAAUUUAAAUAUUUGGAUGGAGAACAAAUAAAUAUUAUCAGUAUUUUUAACAUUUACUGUUAAUUUUAGAUAUUUACUUGUGUCUAUGUUGAUAAUUUUGAGAUACUUUCAUAUUUUUUAAUAUCUAAUGAAUAUAAUAUUUAAAAUAAUUAAUAUAUUUAAAUAUAUAAUUGAGAUUUAGAUAUUUUGGUAUUCAAAAUAUUUUAUUUUGGAUUAGAUUCGAUUCUGGUUAUCUAGAUAUUAAACUUUUAAUCCAUCUGAAUAUACUUAAUCGUUUUAGUUUGUGUUUAGUAUUACUUUCAAAUCUAGUUCGAUUCAGUUUCAGAUCCAGAUGAGUUAAUCAAAUAAAUUGUGUGUGAACACAUUAAAUUAUUUGCGGUAAAGUUAAAAAAUUAGUGUGUGAAUGCAUUAAUUGUUAAAUGAUUGUGAGGCCGACACGUCAGCAUACUCAAAUUGAAAUCAAUGUGAAGCUAUAACGUAGAAAAUAUAGUGUGAACGUAUUAAUUACAAAUGUUUAUCUUUUAAUAUAUAGGAGAUACUAAAAUACGAUAAUAAAAAAAAUAGACUUAAUAAUUAGAACAACCAAUAUAUUUAAUAUACUACCACAACAAAAUAUUUAGGGACAAACUGGUAACCACUAUAGGAACACUAGGAAUGAGUAGGAGAAAAAUGUAGAGAAAUAAAAUUAUAGGAAGAAAAGAAAGAUUAUUCCUUACCGAUUUUAAUGAGAAACAAAUUUGUUAUAUAUUCCUCUAGAAUAAAAGGAAUGAGAAGAAUAAAAAAGAAAAAUUAUUUCUUAUAAAUGGUAAAAAUAAUUAGAAAUAGUAAUAAAUUCAUCAUUUCCUUUCAUUCAGUGGUCACCAGUUAGACCCUCAGUAUAGUCAAACUUUUUCUUCCUAGACUACUAAUUUGAGAUAUAUUCAAAAUUAAUGGUAAUUGAACAAUUACUAAAAUAGUACAGUCAAAUUAUUAUUUACCAUACUACUAUAUGAAAUAUGUUGAAAUUUAAUGGUAAUUGAAUACAUUCCCAAAGUAGUCCAUUUUGUGUUCUUGACUCUUCCUCUCGACUCUCUCUAUAUAUAUAAGAUUGCAAGUGCAUGACUAUAUUUCAACAUCACAAAUAAAAGAUAGAACUAAAAGCGACAGCCAUGGGAAGACCAAAAGUGAAGUUGGCUUGGGUCGAGGAACGAAAGAGAAGAGCUACUGUUUGCCAGCGGAGAAUGAAAGAAUUGAUUCAAAUGGCUGAAGAACUAACCAUCGUUUGUGAUAUGAGUGCAUGUUUGGUCUUUUACAACCGUAAAAAUGGUAAGCUGGUGGUGUGGCCAUCUCUGGAGGAGGCUCAAUCUCUCAUUGACUGCUAUAACGCAUUACCGGAAACCGAGAGGAACAUGAAGGCGGAUGAUGAAGAGUCAUCAUUCAUCAAGACCAUUACCAAGGAGAUCGAGAAGAAACUAGAGCUUUCUCGGAAGGCUAUCAAGGAGUUGAAGAUGGAUAAUCUCAUGCUCCAAAUCAAAAAUGGUAGUAGAAUGAUUGCUGAUCUUUCUCAAACCGAGAUUGAGAAGUUAAAGUCAUAUGCAAGUAAGAAAAUUGCGUAUUAUGAUAGAGAGUUACGUAAGCAACAUCCGAAUACGAGUGGCAAUGAGCCAUUUCUUGAGGAUGACAAUGGGGAGAUGAAGACCUAUGAAGGAGAGAGCAGCGAGUCUGAUGGUGCGGACAAUACCUAAUGAAGCAGAUAGCUGUCGAAUAAUAAAAUUAAUGUGUCUUGGAAUAAAGUUGUUACUGUUGUGUCUUUGCAUUCUCGUUUCAUAUUUCUAGUUUUUGUUGCUUUGGUCAUGUUUCUUGUUUUUUUUUGUUUCUGUUUCUUGUUGUGUCUUAAACUUGUGUCUUUGUUUGCAUAUGUUAACCUAAAUUAAUGCAAUGUUUUCUAUUUCAAUCAUUGAAGAGCUCAUCUCGUAUGUAACACUAUAUGUUUUCUAGGGUUCAACAUAGCAAAUUCUUUAAGAAUAAACUAUAUUUUGAUAAAGCAUCGUAUUUAACUGAGAUUAUCAUUGGCAUGCAUGUCAAACUAUAGGUACAUUAAUUUUCAUGAAUAAUUUAAUUCUUUAAGAAUAAGCUAUAUUUUGUCCAACGUUUCUUUUAUGAUGCUUAAACCUUAAUUUCACACGUUAGAUUCAUUGUUGUCUUUCUUGAUUUUCCCCGACCGCUGGAUCUUUCGUUGCUUGCUACAUAGUAAAACUUUUUUUAGCAUAUACAUGAACAAUACAAAUUACUCAGUAACUACAAUUUCAAGAGAUUUGUUUAAGUGUGUGUCCUGUCCAAGUUAUUGACUUCACUCAUUAGUCCAACACUUUCAGUGUAAUGAUAAAUGAAACCAACGAGAAGAGAGAUAGAGAGAGAGUAGAAUUACACCCCAAGAUUCCAAUAGCAUCCUUAGCUACACAUACUUGAUGUAGUACACCUAUAAGGACAUCUAUAAGGACCACUCCUCUUUGAUUGCUUCUUCAAAGUACACAGAACUUUCAAGUGCGCAGUGUUUAUAAACAAGUCUUUUGGGGUAUUAGGUUGAUUAAAGAAUCUUGAUUAACAUUUCAAGCCUGUGAAGUGUGUGAGAGAAAGCUUCAAUCUGCACACACCAAACAUGUGAUUCAGAAUAUAGUACUCAUGAGGAUUCAGUAGGGUGAAAAAAAUGCCCUUCUACUGUAAAACUUUUUUGCAGAGAAAGCUAUGGGCGUUCCCCAGUCAAAAAAAAAUACGCUUCUAAACAAGUUUCAGAAGGAUAUUGCAACUACUUACCUGUAUCUACUGAGAGAUAUUCAGAGACAGACACAACAUAAUAGUGUUGUACAAGUUUUACAAGUUUUUCUGAAUAUUAAUAUUACGUUUGAAUCAUUGGAAAAUGGUAAUAAUUUUCAUGAGAUUAACAGAGCAUAAACCCAUAUGAAAUUAAGUUGUGAGGGUUUUAGGAAAAUUGGAUAUUUAGUUCCAAAAUAGAGCAACGAUAUUAAGAUUUUUUUUUUUUUGUUAAAGAACAAUGUUAAGAUUUGUUAUUAUAUAAAUAUAUCUAUUAAUAGUGUUGUCAUAUAAACAUAUGUACUUAUAGCAAAUCACACUUCAAAAAUGUUCAAUUGUAUCAAAAAUGAUAGUAUACAUAUUUAUUUGUGUAUGUACAUGACUUUUAUCUUAUCUCCCUUCAAAACUAUAGUAUGCAAUAACGCUGACUUUCAUUUUACUAUUGAACAAACUUCCAAAUACGUUCCAACUAAAAACUCUAACAAUGUGAUUUCACCAUUUAUUUAUAGUAUCCCAUAAAAUAAAAUAAUAAAAUCAAAAAAGAACUAAAAGAUAUCCUAACAAACAAUGAUUUUAAACUCAUUUUCAAAUGGAAAUAAUGUUUCAUAAGCUCAAACCAACGAAAAGAUCUAAUCUCACAAAUAAUUUUUCUUUUGUGUUACCAAACUCAAAAACCAAAAAAAUAAUAUGAAAAUUAAUGGAAAAGCAAAAUGAGCAAUUAUACAUAAUCAAACAUAUAGUUAAAAAAGAGUAACACUAUCUAAUAAAUUAAAAAAAAAAAAAAAAAAAAGCAUACAUAUUACUAUCUCCCAAACAUCGACACACUUUUAAGGAAAGCAAAAUGACAUUGUAACAUCGUCUCUUGCAUUUUUUUAAUUAAAGAAAUUAAUUACAAAGUUUUGACGAACCGCAAUACACAAGAAAUCUAAAAAUAACAUAUGAUCAUGGAUUAACUCAAAUAAAUAAAUUUUUAAAAUAAAAAAAAAUUCAUCGUCGCAAUAAAGAUAAAAUAUUAUAUCAUUCCAAGAAUCACAACAAUAUAAUUAUGCAAUUUGGUCAACAACAGCUAAUUCAGCUCUCGAUAUCAUUAGAUAUUAUAUAAAUAAAGAUCACAUGUAAAUAAUGUUUCACAAAAACAGAAAAUUAUGCUUUUGAAAAUAAAAAUAUGUCGAUCUAAACACUUAAUUACGUCAAAAUCCCGCGCGAAGCGCGGACUUGCCCUAGUAUUGCAUAAUUAAGAGUUUAAUAAUUUUUUCGCUUUCAACCUACAUGAAUUCUUAAGUUGGUGCAUAAUUACUCUGAAACUUGUUUUUAUCUAAAAAGUAUUAUUAAAAUAUAAAUUGAAAAUUGUUCAUUCAAUAAUAAAAUAAACUACAAAAUAUCAUUAAUUAUGCAAUUUUUGAUAAAAGUAAAAAUUACAUUGAAAAAAUGAAAACAUCUUCUAUUUUUAAACAUCAAAAACUUCCUUGUUUAAAACCGACGGGGGUAUAACUUUAUUACAUUAUAUUAAGAAAACAAAGAAACUUGUCUUAUGAUAGCAUCAAAACUUGGAAAUGUGUAAUACAAAUAUGACAAUGGCCAGCCGAACAAAUUAGUUAGCAGGUCCUCUUCGUAGGGCACAAAAGCAUGUUUUUGAGAGUUCAGAGACUAAUCAAAACUGAUACGACGCAUCUUACAAACAAGAUUAGCCGUAGGGAAAUCAAGUUCACUACCAGCGUCUGAUUUCAUCACAUCUUUGAGCUCAUCUCUUGGUGUAGCCAAACACGUCUGGAAAGUUGCAAGCACAGGCGGAAUCGGCAUGGACAAGGCCGCAAGCACAUUGCUCAAGUACUCUAUAUCUACACACAGUUGCUGUGCUCCUCGGUCUGAAAUGUAUUGGAUUCCUCUCAGUUGCUCCAUGUACAGAGCCGUUGCGCCUUCUGCUACCUUGAACAUCCACUCAGUUGCAAAGAACUGUGCGUCCUCGUUGUUUGAAUCACCAUUGGUUGAGAUUCCUUCAGCUAGAGGCUCAAGCUGCUGAGGUAAAGUCAGGAGAUAUUCUCCAACGCUUGUAACGUAAGCCUGAGGGUAUGAGCUGAAGUUUGGUAGAGCAAACGCAGUUUGUUCUUCCACAGAAGACCAGAUUGGUAGGCGAGAUACUUCCCCGAGUCUUUGCCUGACUUUUGAUAUGAGGAUGUCAUAGACAAGUUCGUUCACUGUGUCCGCAAACGCAGCUACUCUCUGAGAUGCCAAAGGCAGUGCGUGGAACCU